CGGGAAACAUUGCCACCGGUGCUGCACCGUGGGCUCCGGCGCGGCGCGGCAGAGUCGUCCCACAGCUCCGUGUCACCAGCGGACCUUCACCAUGACGAACCGAGCCGAGAGCCGACAUCUGAAGCGACUGCGUUCAGAAGAGUCGGAUCCGGCACCCAAGAAGCGGCGACGUCAAAGAGCUGACAACUCCUCCAGAGCUCCCGCAGCUGGCAGAGACGGCAGACAGGAGUCGGUGCAGGAGACGAGGGUGGAAAUGAAGCAAGAACAACGCUCGAAUAGAGAGGAGAGGAUGGUAUCAACGGCAGAGACGGAGAUGGAGCCAAAUAAGGGACCAAAAGAGUUGAUAACUGUUAGGAGACUCAGUCAAGAGCUUGAACUGCAGUCUAGUUCAGAACAGACGAGCUCUGUUGAUGGCACGAUGGA